UGUAAUAACCAUCAAGCUCAUCAAGAUGCUAAUGGAUGCCUCAUAGAAGACACUACCAGAUUUUUCAAAAAAACAUGAAAUUUCCCUUGAUUAAUAAGGAAAAUCUAAUAUGUUAAACUGCACAUAUAGGACAACAACCAGACUUUCAAAGUUCCCCAACAUCAGUUUAAAGCAGAACAUCAAGGUAAAUGCAAGUACAUGGCCAAUGGGCAGCAGUAAGCAAUUGUGAUCGACAUAAUAGUUCGAGUCAUGAUAAAUUGAGCAAAGUAAAAUAUGAACAUGGUAAAGCUCUUACCCUCCUUUUGCUUGAUCUUGAUUUAUUCAACAGCUGUUGUUGAGUGAUAUAUGCCUUCGAUGGUGGCACUUGUUCAGUAUUUUCGUUGAAAAGCUUUUUGCUGACAAUACUAGGAUUCUUAGUACGAUGAGUAUCUGCAUCUCUUUGUACUGUGACAAUACUCCCAGGCUGAGUCUACAAACAAUAAUUUUUUUUGAUCUUUUUUAGGUACAGGUCAUGGUAUAUAUGUCAAGAUUACUUGGAACUUGGUGCAAU
rnacentral:lncRNA from 1 species